GCAGUUCUCUUCGAUUUCGUUCCGGAAACGGAACUUACUCUCUUCGUAAUCCCCAGAUCUGAACCACUUACCAGUGCAGCUGCUACUAUAAAAAGUGUCUCUGGUAUCUAUCGCACGUGAUCCAGGCCAUCAUGCAGUUUAGUUGUUAGGGCCAUUUACGCACUACGUAGUGGCUUAAAGCAUCACCGUCGUCGUGUUAGCUCCAAAAUGUUGUCGUUGUACGUGGGUUGUCUAAGGUAUAUGAUUGCAUCCAAGCAUUAUAACAGAAAUAGAUGAAAAGCAAGCUAAGGCGUUCAGCAAAACGUGUAGGUGACUUCAUCAACUACAGGGAUCAGUUACCUAAUCUGUCUGAAUCCUGGAAGAUUUCAGAAAGUGACAGAAGGGAAAUGUAAGGCUACAAUCCAGAAAUACUCAUUCAAAAGAAAUUUCACUGAAAACAGUGAUGUGGAACAUAGCCAAAGCUAAUUCAGAUCCAAACUCAUUGAUAAUAAUUCUGCAUGAUUAGCCCCAUUAGUAAUACUCUGGGCUGAUUCCAGAUUUAUCUCAUGUUCCAGAGUGGACUCAUUGCAAUAGGUGGAAUAAAAAUGACUAUGUGUUAUAAUUCA